UUGGGCACUCUAAGGUGACUGCCGGCUAAAAGUCGGAGGAAGGUGGGGAUGACGUCAAAUCAUCAUGCCCUUAUGACCUGGGCUACACACGUGCUACAAUGGGCGGUACAAAGGGUCGCGAACCCGCGAGGGGGAGCCAAUCCCAAAAAGCCGCUCUCAGUUCGGAUUGCAGGCUGCAACUCGCCUGCAUGAAGCCGGAAUCGCUAGUAAUCGCGGAUCAGCAUGCCGCGGUGAAUACGUUCCCGGGCCUU
rnacentral:rRNA from 1 species